AUGUUUUUUGUUUCGCAGAAACAGAGAGAUAGAUCCAAUCUCGGAGGGGCUUCCGCCCCUCCCAAGCUAUGGGAGCCAAGGACCAGAGGGGAAACCCUCCUCCCAUCUAGGGAGGAGGUCAAGGAAGAAGAAGAAGAAGGGGGCCCCUCUCCCCCUUGCUUCCGGUGGCGCCGGAAUGCUGCCGAGGGCCAUCAUCAUCACCGCGAUCUUCACCAACAACUUCACCGCCUUCAUCACCAACUCUUCCUCCCUCUAUGCAGCGGUGUAGCCUCUCUCUUACCCGCUGUAAUCUCUACUUAA
rnacentral:rRNA from 1 species